UACUGGUACACAGUGAUGAUGAUUGUGAAGCUUGGUUGAGGUGGAGGAGUCAGAGGGUGGGAUAUUUCACAGGGAAUGCCUUCCUGCUAAAUGAUGCAACCAGGAGCCCUUAAGGGUUAUCA